UUGAACUUCCAGGCAAGUGUUUUGUAUAUAAGGGUGUUUUUUACCCAGCAAUUGGGGAUUCUGGAAAUUGAAGUCAGCACAUCUUCAAGUUUGCCAAGUUUGAGCAAUCCUGGACUGUAGAUGGUAGCCUGACACCCAGUGCUACCUCUGCAUAAAUCGUACCCUUCGGUAUAUCAUUCCCAGGUUGUGUUUUGUUUUUUUUAUGUGGGAAUAUAAGCUAGUUUCUGCGCUUGAUUUUUUCUACCCAGACUAAGGGCUUAAAUGUACAGUGUGUUGAAAAUUAAGUGGGGUUUGUAGUAUUUUUAAAGGAACUAUGUUACAAAGAGAAGACUCUGGAGAAGACUCCUGCAAGUCCCUUGGACUGCAAGGCGAACAAACAAGUCAGUCCUAGAGGAGAUCAACCCUGACUGCUCUUUAGAAGGCCAGAUCCUGAAGAUGAAACUGAAAUACUUUGGCCACCUAAUGAGAAGGAAGGACUCACUGGAGAAGAGCCUAAUGCUGGGAAAGAUUGAGGGCAAAAGAAGAAGGGGACGACAGAGAACGAGAUGGCUGGGUGGAGUCAUUGAAGCAUUGAAGCGUGAGCUUAAAUGGACUCCAGAGGAUGGUAGAGGAUAGGAAGGCCUGGAGGAACAUUGUCCAUGGGGUCGUGAUGGGUCGGACAUGACUUCGCAACUAACAGCAAUGUUACAAAAGAUAUUGUGGUCAAUGUAGAGUGAUAGUAAUCCUUGGAGAAAGGAUCAUGACAAUGAGAUUCAGGAUGCUAUAACCCAUGGAUGUUUUCUUGUUGAGUGGCUGGGAAGCACAGGAUUCUACCUUCAUUCAAGGCUGCCAUGCAACCAAUACAGACACUAAAAUGGACCAAUCUUCAUUUCUUAAACAUAUUUGUAUAUGAUUGUUCUUUAGAAGGCCAGAUCCUGAAGAUGAAACUGAAACACUUUGGCCACCUAAUGAGAAGGAAGGACUCACUGGAGAAGAGCCUAAUGGUGGGAAUGAUUGAAGGCAAAAGAAGAAGGGGAUGACAGAGAACAAGGUGGCUGGAUGGAGUCAUUGGAACAGUCGCCGUGAGCUUAAAUGGACUCCAGAGGAUAGUAGAGGAUAGGAAGGCCUGGAGGAAUGUUGUCCAUGGGGUCGCGAUGGGUCGGACACGACUUUGCAACUAACAACAACAUAUGAUUGUUCUUUCACCUGACUGAGGUUUUUUUUUUUUUUUUUUUGCUACAGAUAAGUAGACAAAAGCUUGAUCACGUGGAAAUUUCUGUAAAACAAAUGUCUGGGAUAUAAAUAAAUUAAGGAUAGGAUAGAAAUUUUAAGAGAGUAAAUGAGAAGUUAGGGAUAGAAAAUUGGAGAGAAAGAUGGGUAAUGUAGCUUUGCUGCAACUCAGAAAAAAUAUAUUCUGUUUGAGAUUUAAAAGUAUUCCAGACAGUUCUGAUGAAGAUAUUAGAUAAAGUCUAAAAAGACAUAUUUGAAAUGGUAAUUGUCAAGGUGUAUUGACUAAAGCUUGCACUUUUCAAGAAUAAUUAAAUGUUCCAAGAUAUAUUUUGUGUAAGAAAAAACAACAACAAAGGAUCAAAUUUUGCAGCCGAAUUUCAAUACAAGAUUAAAGAUUGAUAAUAUAGAUAUUAUUAUUACCUUAAAAGAAAUUCCUAUUAGAAUGUUACAUCAAAGAAAAGAAUAUUCUUUUUUGAUUGAAAUACAAAUUCAUUAGAGGAUGUUAUUUUUACUUUCAAAUAGAAAAGAUUCUAAUCAAACUCUGUACAAAAGGCAGCCAUUUUCUUGAAAAAUUUAAAGAAGAAUUAGAAGAGGUUCAAAUGGAGGUUAACUGCUCCAAAAACAUAACAGAUACAAAAGGAGUCUGAAAAAAAUGGGUCUGAAUUGAGUGCAACCGGCACUGAUUUUCUAAUCCAGGGAUCUCCAACCUUGGCAACUUUAAGACUUGUGGACUUCAACUCUCAGAAUGAAGUCCACAAGUCUUAAAGUUGCCAAGGUUGGAGACCCCUG